rnacentral:rRNA from 1 species
GAUGAACGCUGGCGGCGUGCUUAACACAUGCAAGUCGAACGGUGAAGGCGGAGCUUGCUCUGCUGGAUCAGUGGCGAACGGGUGAGUAACACGUGAGCAAUCUGCCCCUGACUCUGGGAUAAGCGCUGGAAACGGCGUCUAAUACUGGAUACGAGCUGCGAAGGCAUCUUCAGCAGCUGGAAAGAACUUCGGUCAGGGAUGAGCUCGCGGCCUAUCAGCUUGUUGGUGAGGUAACGGCUCACCAAGGCGUCGACGGGUAGCCGGCCUGAGAGGGUGACCGGCCACACUGGGACUGAGACACGGCCCAGACUCCUACGGGAGGCAGCAGUGGGGAAUAUUGCACAAUGGGAGAAAGCCUGAUGCAGCAACGCCGCGUGAGGGACGACGGCCUUCGGGUUGUAAACCUCUUUUAGCAGGGAAGAAGCGAAAGUGACGGUACCUGCAGAAAAAGCGCCGGCUAACUACGUG